rnacentral:rRNA from 1 species
AGUGAACGCUGGCGGUAGGCCUAACACAUGCAAGUCGAACGGCAGCACAGUAAGAGCUUGCUCUUACGGGUGGCGAGUGGCGGACGGGUGAGGAAUACAUCGGAAUCUACUUUUUCGUGGGGGAUAACGUAGGGAAACUUACGCUAAUACCGCAUACGACCUACGGGUGAAAGCAGGGGAUCUUCGGACCUUGCGCGAUUGAAUGAGCCGAUGUCGGAUUAGCUAGUUGGCGGGGUAAAGGCCCACCAAGGCGACGAUCCGUAGCUGGUCUGAGAGGAUGAUCAGCCACACUGGAACUGAGACACGGUCCAGCCUCCUACGGGAGGCAGCAGUGGGGAAUAUUGGACAAUGGGCGCAGGCCUGAUCCAGCCAUACCGCGUGGGUGAAGAAGGCCUUCGGGUUGUAAAGCCCUUUUGUUGGGAAAGAAAAGCAGCAGGUUAAUACCCCGCUGUUCUGACGGUACCCAAAGAAUAAGCACCGGCUAACUUCGUG